AGAGGAGAAAAAAGGAAGGAGGAAGUAACUUGUGGAAUGCUGAGAAAGGUUUUCCAAUUGAGUGACUGCAGUUCCCACUCUAAAAUCAGGCGUACAAGAGAGCACACAACUCUUCAAGGAUACUGGUGCUCCCCUCACAAAAGUAUUUCACAAAGUAUUGGUGAACGGUGUGUAUUCUGAACCCUCCCAGUUGAGCAAUUUCGGCCCUUUGUCUACUGAAGAGAAGAUUUUCACCCAGGGCACACUUGGAAACUUUCAGGUUAUGUAUGUGCUUCUGGAGCCAGGAGCUAGAAUCCCUGAACUCAUCCCUUUUUUUCACCACUUUGUCCAGUAAACGUAGGAGCAAUCAACUUCAUUAUAUUCUUGGGUUCUCCACGAAUGUUCAAAGAAGAAGCCAUUUAGAUUUUACAGAAAUGUAGCUCCUCAUAUAUUAUAUUGUUCCUAUGAAGAAUUAGAUUGAAUAAAGCUGCUUUGAAUAAAGCUCGUAUUACCAGCUACCACAUGUGAUGGAAAGAAUCCAAGUUAAACACUCUCACCAGAGCAUGCUCCAAGACAGAUGACUGAGCCCCAGGCUUGGCCAAUACAAUGCACUUCUAUUCUCUAUUUAUUUUUGUAGUUCAAAGACCUGGCAGUAACCCACUUGAUGCCUGCCAUAAGGACCAGUACACUCCUGAUUACUGCCCAGCGAUUUUAUAUCUGUAUGCCAGCUACUCAGACCACGUAUAAAGACUAGGGGGAUUUUUUGAAAGGAAAAGAAACCCCAGCUUCCACUUAUACUUUGAAAUUUCAGAUGAUAUACUGCCAACUUACAGACCUUGCUUUAAUCAGCAGCCACAUGAAAAGGCUGUUUCUAUUUACUCUAGGUCAUUUAGGAAACAAGCAAUAAGUAGGCCGUGCAAAAUUUCAGCUUCUCUUAAAGUUGGCAUGUUUUCCUCAAAUAGAGAGUUGAAUCUUGAUUUCAUUUUCUGAGUAGAAAUAUUUACAAUCCUGUCAUACAUGAAGUUUAGCCUUCCUUCUGUCUAACAACAAAUAGGCUUUUUAAAGAAUGCUUAGUGUUAAACUGGAGGCUGUUUUGUAAAGGUUACUCAGAAAAGGAACCUAUGGGCCAGGCAUGGUGGCUCAUGUCCGUAAUCCUAGCACUUUCGGAGGAGCCCAAGGUAUGUAAAAGAAGGCGAGAAAUGAAAAGGAAAGAAAAAUGAAAAUAAUGGGGA